AAGUCGUAACAAGGUUUCCGUAGCUGAACCUGCGGAAGGAUCAUUAACACGUAUCCAAACGUUAAAACCCCCCCCCCGUGAACAUUCAUCCUGCUCUUGUAACCCGCGAAGCUUGCAAUCUCUGGUAAAUAGAGACCUCUGGCCCGUGCGAAUAUUGGAACAGUUACAAUUUUGAGCGGUAGUUCUAUAGGCCUUGUUUCCCCAAGCAGUCAGUGUCUGAAAGUGUCAUUGAUUGUGCAAGGAUAACGCUUCACGAUUCUUGUAGACCGCAUCUCGCGGGCAGGAGCUAGGCCAAAGGGUCCCCAUGCCCCCUUACAACCCCACAGUUUAAUGUGAAGCUCAAUGUAAUACAUUGGGUAAAAAAACCGAACAACUGUUAACAAUGGAUAUCUUGGUUCUC
rnacentral:misc_RNA from 1 species